rnacentral:rRNA from 1 species
GCAGCCGCGGUAAUACGUAGGUCCCAAGCGUUAUCCGGAAUUAUUGGGCGUAAAGAGUGAGUAGGUGGUUUCUUAAGUCUGGAGUUAAAGGCAGUAGCUCAACUAUUGUACGCUUUGGAAACUGGGAGACUAGAGUGCGGGAGAGGUAAAUGGAACUCCAUGUGUAGCGGUAAAAUGCGUAGAUAUAUGGAAGAACACCAGUGGCGAAGGCGAUUUACUAGACCGAUACUGACACUGAGUCACGAAAGCGUGGGUAGCAAAUAGGAUUAGAUACCCC